rnacentral:misc_RNA from 1 species
GAUGAAGAACGUAGCGAAAUGCGAUAAGUAAUGUGAAUUGCAGAAUUCAGUGAAUCAUCGAAUCUUUGAACGCACCUUGCGCCCUUUGGCCAUUCCGAAGGGCAUGCCUGUUUGAGUAUCAUGAACACCUCAACUCUUUAUGGUUUUCCAUGAUGAGCUUGGACUCUGGGGGUUUUGCUGGCUCACAGUCGGCUCCUCUAAAAUGAAUCAGCUUACCAGUGUUUGGUGGGUAUCAUGGGUGUGAUAACUAUCUACGCUUGUGGUUUUUCCACCAGGUAACCUUCAGCAGUGGAGGUUCGCUGGAGCUCAUAGAUGUCUCCCCUCAGUGAGGACAGCCCUUUGAAUGUUUGAUCUCAAAUCAGGUAGGACUACCCGCUGAACUUAAGCAUAUCAAUAAGCGGAGGA